UGAUGGUGGUGCAGCCGAUGCUCGUUUGAAUCUCUUCAGAGGCAGGUAUUCGGAAGGGGAAUCCAGAUACAACUUAUCAAAUCCCACCAUUAGAGAAGCUAUUAAAGCAUACAUUUCCAUUGCAGAAUGUUAUGAUAUCCAUCCAGUGUCUCUUGCAAUAGGUUGUUGAUGGUAUUCGGAAGGUAUGCCCCGAAGCUGGUGCGCUGAUCCAUUUUCUGGCUUUAAUGGUAAUUUUCAAGGGAAAAGCUCACUCCUUUGUGACCAAAAAUUUGUUAUUUUAAUAUACCUGUAUAUCUUGUACUGUUAUGAAACCGAAAUCAGAUCUCAUAUGAGCUUUUUCAAGAGCUUCUUCUGUUUA